rnacentral:tRNA from 1 species
GGAGAGGUGCGCCGAAUUGGUAAGGCAGCGGUUUGCUAAACCGUACUCGUGUAAAAAGCGAGUUGCGGGUUCGAGUCCCGCCCUCUCCG